CCUACGGGUGGCAGCAGUAGGGAAUUUUCGUCAAUGGGCGCAAGCCUGAACGAGCGAUGCCGCGUGAGUGAAGAAGGCCUUCGGGUCGUAAAGCUCUGUUGCGGGGGAAAAAAGGCAGCAUCAGGAAAUGGGUGCUGACUGAUGGUGCCCCGCCAGAAAGUCACGGCUAACUACGUGCCAGCAGCCGCGGUAAUACGUAGGUGGCGAGCGUUAUCCGGAAUGAUUGGGCGUAAAGGGUGCGCAGGCGGUCCUGCAAGUCUGGAGUGAAACGCAUGAGCUCAACUCAUGCAUGGCUUUGGAAACUGGAGGACUGGAGAGCAGGAGAGGGCGGUGGAACUCCAUGUGUAGCGGUAAAAUGCGUAGAUAUAUGGAAGAACACCAGUGGCGAAGGCGGCUGUCUGGUCUGCAACUGACGCUGAGGCUCGAAAGCAUGGGUAGCGAACAGGAUUAGAUACCCUGGUAGUC
rnacentral:rRNA from 1 species